UCAGGAGUGGGACUCUUUGGCUUGAAUUUCCUUCUGCUGGGGUUGUUCCCCAGAAAAGUGGACUCAUCUCUUUGUGCCUGUGCCUCCCUCAGGGAUCUAGCCACAAAAUCAUGGACACACCUGGAAAUCUGUGAGUCCUCCAGAGCCAGAAAUUUUGUGUAUGGAAUCAUGAAACAGAAACAUCCCUCUACACAGCCCUGGGGAAGGAGCUGCCCAGGAAGGCUGGUAAUUGUUUGGCAAGGAGGGGCUGUGCACACCUGGAAGCAGAAACACCAGAACUGCUGGGAGACAAAGGCAAAGAGAGAAAGCAAAAGGCAGAGAUGAGGGUGAAGCACCAGGACUGCCAUCCUGGCAUGCCAGUAAUUAAAUAAUUGAAAUAGUAUUUGCUGUCAAAUGUUUCCACAGUGUCCCUCAUGAAAAACAAUGCACAUUAUGAUGCCAUAAAUCCGUAUUAUCUACGUCUUCACAACCAGAAGCUUCCCAUUACCCAAAAGAAGGGUGAAUCCCAUGAGACACAUUAAUGGCAUUGAAAACUCCUCCUGUUAUCUUAAACCUUGAUUAAU